UCGAAGUGUGAGUGGACCACAGAGUUCCUAGAAUCUCUAGAUAACUCUGGCAAGAGGAUCAAAGUCUUCUUUGUGUUAUUUGACCUGAUAUGACAUUCAUCACAAGUCUCUCAAAUGAGGAAAUGAAUUAAUGAUUGAAUAAGUGAGUGCCAUGACUACUACCAUGGUUCAAAUGCCAUCCUUGCUUCAGCUGCUGUUCAAGGUCACUUCCUCCAGGAAGCCCUCCCUGUAUUCUCCUGCCCUUUCUUAUCAAGACUCUUACAGCGCUGGUAUGUGUGACCAAAGUGUGAAUGCCUUCCUAGGUGCUAACAAUUGGAAGGUCUUUUUGUGUUUUCUUGUGGUUCCUCAUUCUAGCCAGACAACAAACACAUUUCUUCAACAUGUACUCACUCAGCUCUUAUCAUUGGCCCCACUCUGUGCUGGACCCAAGGAAUUCAAGAGGAAAGUGAACAGAUAAGGAGCUUAUAGUCUAGUGUUGGGGCUGGCAAACCCCAGCCCCUCAGCUGGACUGAGCCCAACUGCCAUCUGUUUUUGUAAAUAAAGUUUUAUUGGUACACAGCCAUCUCCAUUUGUCCACAUGUGGACACAUGUUCACAUGUGUUUGGCUGCUUUUUGAGUUUCAGGGACGGAAUGGAGUUCAGUGACAGAGACCACAUGGCCUGCCAAGCCCAAGAUAUUUGCUCUCCGGACCUUUACAGAAAGAUUUGCUGCUCCCAGUGCUAAUGAGAAAGACAACCUAGAAAAAGAUCAUUCCAGCAUGCUCGUGGUACAAUCUGUAAAUUAAAGAGCUACCAGCCAGAGCAACCUCAGCCUGAGAGCUUAGCAGGUCUGCGCCUCUCCUUACAAGUGAGAUCGCUCUGGCCAAGAGGGGUUCAGUGGCUUGUCUGGGCCAGGUGACGCCCUCCUUCGUCUUUCAAAGACCCCGUGUGCACUUGAAGCACCCCCAUCUCACAGGUGCAGAAACUGAGCUACAUGACAUCAUGCAUACUUUUACCCCUUACAUGCCCUGUGACACAGGCAAACCUGAACUUGAACUCAGGUCUCUAGUCUCUCACCAUGACUUGAGACAUCAAAGGACAAAUGGAUCGAAGUCUUCUGGGAGAAAAGGCAGCCCCAGAGGCCACCUUGUCCACAUUCCUGGGGGCCGGAGAGCGCUUGGAGGCACCUGUGCUUAUCUGCUAAGAUGUCUGUUUUGGCCGGGUUUUACCAGCCGUGAGACUUCAUUGCCUGUCACCGCGGAGAGAGCAUCUCAAAACCAGGCUCCCUCCCUCUAUUUUUCAAAGCCAUGCUUCCCCAACCAGAUUUACAUUUUCAAAAACCCUUCAGAUAAUCACAGACCCAAGAAACUUCCACUCCUCUGAGGUUUAAUUAGGAGAAACUGUCUUUCUAGUACUUCCAAGAGCCUUGCUCUAAAUUUCUCAGCGGCAAGAGAAGGUUCACGGCGGAUGAGUGGGAGCAAGCGGAACCUGUGAACAGCCGCCCCCUCUGUCCCCCUCCGUCCCUUGCAGCGGAGAUAAAGCCAUGUUGCAGGUCACUGAAAUCACAUUGUGAGUGUGCCCUGUAUCAUUAGGACCCAGAGAAUGGAGAUGAUCGGAACGCAGGAUAACACAUUAGCGAUAGAUAAUAGAGUCUAAAUAAACAUAAUCAGCUUUCCUCUAUGUCUUCAGACCAAAGCUUAUCUAUAAAUACCCUAAUGACGCCCAACCAGCCAAUUACUCGUUUCUUGGAAGAGCCCCUUAUUAAUGGCGUUGCAGUGAGGGAAAAACAUUAAUUAUUGGACACAGUGGGAUCUUUUACGUUCUGUCUGGUCCGGACAGCACCAAUUAAUGCAACAAUUAUUAUCAACGACCGUGGCAGCAUACCGAGUGCAGCCACCCCAGGCUGGUUCGAUGGGGUGGGAAGAAUGUGCGCGCUGGGAAGACAUCACCCACACUCUUUUCAUGGAGCCUGCUUCUCCAUCACUGCGGAAGCUGCCGGAACAAAGCAGAGAGUGGCCAGAGUGUGUUGGUUUUUCUAUUUAAGCCAUAAGAUAGUAGUCCUGGGGUGCUGAAUGGGGGAGAGUGGGAGGAGUCAGGCACUGGUCUGUUGUGUUGAGUUGCUAAGUGAAACUAGGCAGAAGAGUAGAGAAGAGAGGCCACCUUCAGAGCAUGGAGCGUCUGGCUUGGCUCCUGCACACUCCUCCAUACUCUUCUCUCCCACUCAUUAUAGUGCACCCCAUGCUUCUCCCUCAGCUUUUCCAGUUCAGCUGUGUUCUAUCCUGCCCCAGGACAUUUGCACAAGCUAUUGUUAAUACCUGAAAGAGCGUCUCUGUCCUUUAUAAGGCUGACUCCUUUCUGAAUGUGGUACAAAGGUUCCCUUUGCAGAAAGGUCUUUCUUGAUCUUGAACCCAAAAUACACAUUUCCUUAAUAUUAGUCACUUCUUGUUUCUAUUUUUGCACAAAGUCAAUCAUAAGUCUUGAGAUAUUUAACAGCUCUAUCUUAUUAUUUUAUUUGUGUCUGUCUCCCUCACAAGAAUGUAAGCUCCGUGAGGGCAAGGACUUUGUCUUUUUCUCCAGCAUCUACCCAAGUGUUUUGCAUUUAGGAAGGGCUCAAUAGAUGUUUGGUGAGUGAGUAAAUAAUGCACGGUGUAGAAACAGAUUGUACUUGCAGGUGCUAUGGAGAGUAAAUCAGCUAUCUUCUUGCAAAAAUUCCACAAGGGGGAAAAUACCAAAUUGUUCUAUUCAGAGCACUAACAUCUUCUGCAGACUCUGUGUCAGCUGUACUUCCGCACUUCAUAGGUGAUGGACAUGCUUGAGGGGCCUGUGAUGGGCUGUCCUGUAACCUACUGGCUUCUAUUAUCACGCACAUCAUGGCCUGCUAUUUGAGCUGACUACAAAUCAGUCCGCUCUGCCCAAGGUACAAACCUGUUGCAGGAAUGCUUUUAUUUUUCUCUUCUCGGUGACAAGGAGGGGCUCUCUUCUGGGAGGCAUUAAUUACAAAGCACUUUGGAAAAUUAGUCCAGUGAAGGAUGCAAGGGCUCCCCUGAGCCGCGGUCAGGGCUCUGUGCAGUGGGCCUGCCCCUGUGGCCCUUCCGGAGAACGAUCUCUAGCCUAUUUGUGCUACAAGUUACCCUUUGGAGUGUUAAAGAAGUUCAUAUGUGUUAUUCAAGGUCAAAGCCCAGUUCAAGAAACUUACCUGACCUUCCUGCACCUCUGCAAUCUGUAGUUACUAACCACAUCCAACCCUGUGCACCCUUCCCUGAGAUGACCUUCUUCUGAGGUUUUCUAACCAAAGUGGAGCCAUGGAAGCUCAGAGGCAGUCCUGGGGUGUACUCAGCCUAGGACUGCUGUACAGAUGUGGCCACAGCGAGAAUUACCAUCCCAUUUCUUCCAAAUAACCAUCUCCAGGGAAAUACUUAGAAAUGACAGGGACACUCGAGGCAUCUGUCAGGGCUGGUUUUUCUUUCAUCUCCCUGAGAAUGGCAAUGACCUCAACUCACAAUCAUCUCACCCGCUCCGCACGCCUCUAACACAUUUGAUCUUGACCCUGCAGUUAGGCGCAAGUGUGGACUGCUCAGUUCCUGGUCUGUUUGGGGGCAGAAAGGUGGGGAUCCCCUGGAGGGCAGGGUAUACAGUGUCUCUACAUCCUGCUCAGCGCCUAGCUUUCUGAUGCCUUGGCCAUGUCCAGUAGAAGUUUAUCUCAGUGCUCCACUUUGUCAACAUUCUGGACUCUUCCUCUGCCCCCUGAGACCAGCCUGUGACCCAUGGAGAGUGGGAAGCAGAAACUAUUCAUCCUUCUAUCUCUGGUGCCUGGCCCAGGGUCCUAGCCCCAGAAUGAUUUUCAGCCUUCAGAAUGAGCGAAUAUGUAAGCCCUUGAAAGAAGCUGCCGAGGGCAUUUCAAAGGGAGCUGUCCCUGCUGUGGAAUGCCCGUCCUUUCCCUCCCGCCCAAGAAGGAGCAUUUGGAGUUACUGUGUGUUUCUGUAUGCCCAGCAGGAAAAUGAAACAUAUAGCGAGAUGUUUCCAGACAAGGAAGCUGGUGGAUCUGAGUUCAAAUCCCAGUCCUGCCACCUACUGGCAGAGGGUAUUGGGCAUGUUCCUGAACCUUCUGGUGCCUUUGUUUCCUUGUAUGGAAAAUACAAAUAAUGGUCGUGAUCUCCUCAUGCUGGAGGGGUGUUUGAUGUUUGGCUAAUAUCAGUAGAGUGUUAAGCAUGGUGUUUGGGACAAAAUAAACCUC